GAUGGACGAGACAGAAUGGAGACCAUCCAGUGGCUCCUGGCUGCAGCUGGAGUAGAGUUUGAAGAGAAAUUUAUAGAAACUUCGAAAGACUUGGAAAAGCU